rnacentral:rRNA from 1 species
AACCUCCGCAAUGUGAGAAAUCGCGACGGGGGGAUCCCAAGUGCCAUUCUUAACGGGAUGGCUUUUCAUUAGUGUAAAGAGCUUUUGGAAUAAGAGCUGGGCAAGACCGGUGCCAGCCGCCGCGGUAACACCGGCAGCUCUAGUGGUAACAAUUUUUAUUGGGCCUAAAGCGUCCGUAGCCGGUUUAAUAAGUCUCUGGUGAAAUCCUGUAGCUUAACUGUGGGAAUUGCUGGAGAUACUAUUAGACUUGAGACCGGGAGAGGUUAGAGGUACUCCCAGGGUAGAGGUGAAAUUCUGUAAUCCUGGGAGGACCGCCUGUUGCGAAGGCGUCUAACUGGAACGAUUCUGACGGUGAGGGACGAAAGUUAGGGGCGCGAACCGGAUUAGAUACCCGGGUAGUCCUAACUGUAAACGAUGCGGACUUGGUGUUGGGGUGGCUUUGAGCUGCUCCAGUGCCGAAGGGAAGCUGUUAAGUCCGCCGCCUGGGAAGUACGGUCGCAAGACUGAAACUUAAAGGAAUU